GGGUUGUGAGGUUAAGCGACUAAGCGUACACGGUGGAUGCCCUGGCAGUCAGAGGCGAUGAAGGACGUGCUAAUCUGCGAUAAGCGUCGGUAAGGUGAUAUGAACCGUUAUAACCGGCGAUUUCCGAAUGGGGAAACCCAGUGUGUUUCGACACACUAUCAUUAACUGAAUCCAUAGGUUAAUGAGGCGAACCGGGGGAACUGAAACAUCUAAGUACCCCGAGGAAAAGAAAUCAACCGAGAUUCCCCCAGUAGCGGCGAGCGAACGGGGAGCAGCCCAGAGCCUGAAUCAGUGUGUGUGUUAGUGGAAGCGUCUGGAAAGGCGCGCGAUACAGGGUGACAGCCCCGUACACAAAAAUGCACAUGCUGUGAGCUCGAUGAGUAGGGCGGGACACGUGGUAUCCUGUCUGAAUAUGGGGGGACCAUCCUCCAAGGCUAAAUACUCCUGACUGACCGAUAGUGAACCAGUACCGUGAGGGAAAGGCGAAAAGAACCCCGGCGAGGGGAGUGAAAAAGAACCUGAAACCGUGUACGUACAAGCAGUGGGAGCACGCUUAGGCGUGUGACUGCGUACCUUUUGUAUAAUGGGUCAGCGACUUAUAUUCUGUAGCAAGGUUAACCGAAUAGGGGAGCCGAAGGGAAACCGAGUCUUAACUGGGCGUUAAGUUGCAGGGUAUAGACCCGAAACCCGGUGAUCUAGCCAUGGGCAGGUUGAAGGUUGGGUAACACUAACUGGAGGACCGAACCGACUAAUGUUGAAAAAUUAGCGGAUGACUUGUGGCUGGGGGUGAAAGGCCAAUCAAACCGGGAGAUAGCUGGUUCUCCCCGAAAGCUAUUUAGGUAGCGCCUCGUGAAUUCAUCUCCGGGGGUAGAGCACUGUUUCGGCAAGGGGGUCAUCCCGACUUACCAACCCGAUGCAAACUGCGAAUACCGGAGAAUGUUAUCACGGGAGACACACGGCGGGUGCUAACGUCCGUCGUGAAGAGGGAAACAACCCAGACCGCCAGCUAAGGUCCCAAAGUCAUGGUUAAGUGGGAAACGAUGUGGGAAGGCCCAGACAGCCAGGAUGUUGGCUUAGAAGCAGCCAUCAUUUAAAGAAAGCGUAAUAGCUCACUGGUCGAGUCGGCCUGCGCGGAAGAUGUAACGGGGCUAAACCAUGCACCGAAGCUGCGGCAGCGACGCUUAUGCGUUGUUGGGUAGGGGAGCGUUCUGUAAGCCUGCGAAGGUGUGCUGUGAGGCAUGCUGGAGGUAUCAGAAGUGCGAAUGCUGACAUAAGUAACGAUAAAGCGGGUGAAAAGCCCGCUCGCCGGAAGACCAAGGGUUCCUGUCCAACGUUAAUCGGGGCAGGGUGAGUCGACCCCUAAGGCGAGGCCGAAAGGCGUAGUCGAUGGGAAACAGGUUAAUAUUCCUGUACUUGGUGUUACUGCGAAGGGGGGACGGAGAAGGCUAUGUUGGCCGGGCGACGGUUGUCCCGGUUUAAGCGUGUAGGCUGGUUUUCCAGGCAAAUCCGGAAAAUCAAGGCUGAGGCGUGAUGACGAGGCACUACGGUGCUGAAGCAACAAAUGCCCUGCUUCCAGGAAAAGCCUCUAAGCAUCAGGUAACAUCAAAUCGUACCCCAAACCGACACAGGUGGUCAGGUAGAGAAUACCAAGGCGCUUGAGAGAACUCGGGUGAAGGAACUAGGCAAAAUGGUGCCGUAACUUCGGGAGAAGGCACGCUGAUAUGUAGGUGAAGUCCCUCGCGGAUGGAGCUGAAAUCAGUCGAAGAUACCAGCUGGCUGCAACUGUUUAUUAAAAACACAGCACUGUGCAAACACGAAAGUGGACGUAUACGGUGUGACGCCUGCCCGGUGCCGGAAGGUUAAUUGAUGGGGUUAGCGCAAGCGAAGCUCUUGAUCGAAGCCCCGGUAAACGGCGGCCGUAACUAUAACGGUCCUAAGGUAGCGAAAUUCCUUGUCGGGUAAGUUCCGACCUGCACGAAUGGCGUAAUGAUGGCCAGGCUGUCUCCACCCGAGACUCAGUGAAAUUGAACUCGCUGUGAAGAUGCAGUGUACCCGCGGCAAGACGGAAAGACCCCGUGAACCUUUACUAUAGCUUGACACUGAACAUUGAGCCUUGAUGUGUAGGAUAGGUGGGAGGCUUUGAAGUGUGGACGCCAGUCUGCAUGGAGCCGACCUUGAAAUACCACCCUUUAAUGUUUGAUGUUCUAACGU
rnacentral:rRNA from 1 species